AGGACGAACGCUGGCGGCGUGCUUAACACAUGCAAGUGGAGCGACGAACCAGGGCUUGCCCUGGGGCAGAGCCGCGAACGGGUGAGUAACACGUGGGUUACCUGCCUCGAUGACCGGGACAACCCGAGGAAACUCGGGCUAAUACCGGAUGUGCCCGCAAGGGGAAAGGAAGCUUCGGCCUCCGCAUCGAGAUGGGCCCGCGGCCCAUUAGCUUGUUGGUGAGGUAACGGCUCACCAAGGCUUCGAUGGGUAGCUGGUCUGAGAGGACGAUCAGCCACACUGGGACUGAGACACGGCCCAGACUCCUACGGGAGGCAGCAGUGGGGAAUCUUGCGCAAUGCGCGAAAGCGUGACGCAGCAACGCCGCGUGGGGGAAGAAGGCUUUCGGGUUGUAAACCCCUUUCAGUUGGGACGAAGCUUCGCCGGUGAAUAGCCGGCCGGAGUGACGGUACCUUCACAAGAAGCACCGGCUAACUACGCGCCAGCAGCCGCGGU
rnacentral:rRNA from 1 species